rnacentral:rRNA from 1 species
AUGAGGACUAGCCAGAUGUUGCUCUUGAUGACGGCCUUCCUUGUCCUAGCAUCAGAUGCGGUAACAAAGGCGUCAGCGGCCGUUGAAGGAGACCCCUGUGUGUCAAGCAUUAUCCCAUCACCAAAGCCAUGUGAUAAUAAAAGCUGCAAUAAGGCAUGCAUCGACCACCUGAUGUGGAGCGGCGGACAUGGCGAGUGUGUUGCGGAGGGGUGCAAGUGCCUGGAUUGCGUUAAAAUGGAUACUAUUUAG